rnacentral:rRNA from 1 species
UACGUAGGUGGCAAGCGUUGUCCGGAAUUAUUGGGCGUAAAGCGCGCGCAGGUGGUUUCUUAAGUCUGAUGUGAAAGCCCACGGCUCAACCGUGGAGGGUCAUUGGAAACUGGGGAACUUGAGUGCAGAAGAGGAAAGUGGAAUUCCAAGUGUAGCGGUGAAAUGCGUAGAGAUUUGGAGGAACACCAGUGGCGAAGGCGACUUUCUGGUCUGUAACUGACACUGAGGCGCGAAAGCUAGGGGAGCAAACGGGGAGUUAGAUACCC